rfam:Ovis aries breed Texel chromosome 2, whole genome shotgun sequence.
UCCCUGGUGGCUCAGAGGUUAAAGCAUUUGCCUGCAAUGCAGGAGACCUGGGUUUGAUCCUUGGGUCAGGGAA